AAGCGAUCGAGGGGUUCAUCGCCUCAUCACCGUCAUCGGCUCUCUUCGGUUCAUGCGUGGAGAAGAUGGGCGCCGCUGAUGCGGAGAUCGAGGAGUUGUUGGACCGGAAGAAGUCGGUCAAGAACCCUCUCGUCCCCGUUGAGGACUUUAUGUAUGAUUGUCAAUUUGGUUCAAAUUUUGAGUGCUGCUAGUGUGUGAAUGGUUGCCCUGUUGGACUAAUUCGGUUAGUAAAUCAGUCAUACUGGUGCCGCGAAAUUAGAAGGACAGUUUUGUUGAAAGAGGAGGUGAAUUGUUAUCAGUUGCUACCAAUUUUGUUGAAAUGGGAGAUGAAUUGUUAUCAGCUGCCCUUAUUACUGAAUUGGUGAUUGCAAAAGUACUAUUCGAUUGAGUGAGCCUUCAAGCAAAUUGAUGUCUAUAUGAUCUCAGAGAAUGUAAUUGCUUUUUGAGAUAUAUCUUCUAUAUAUCCCGAAACACCCAUUGUCGUUCUUCCCCAACGAAUGAGGUGCACUUAUUACUGCUGGUGUACUUACGGCGGGUCUAAUUAGCUUCAGGCAAGGAAAUUCCCAGCUGGGUCAGAAGCUGAUGAGGGCUCGUGUUGUAGUUCAAGGUGCAACAGUUGCAUUGAUGGUUGGCAGUGCUUA